rnacentral:rRNA from 1 species
UACGUAGGCAGCGAGCGUUGUUCGGAAUUACUAGGCGUAAAGAGUGUGUAGGCGGCGCUCUAAGUUCGGUGUGAAAUCUCUCGGCUUAACUGGGAGGGUGCGCCGGAAACUGGAGUGCUCGAACGUGGGAGAGGAAAGCGGAAUUCCUGGUGUAGCGGUGAAAUGCGUAGAUAUCAGGAGGAACACCUGCGGUGUAGACGGCUUUCUGGACCAUUGUUGACGCUGAGACACGAAAGCGUGGGUAGCAAACAGG